rnacentral:lncRNA from 1 species
AGGGCCUGAUGAGAGGCGGUGCCUGGUGCAUUUGCGAGGCGACCCUGCACCUUCCUCUCCCUCUGCAGCCAGCUCCGCCCCUGGGAGAAGGUGCAGAUGACUUGGAGGGGGAGUUCACUGAGGAAACGAUCGGGAACGUUGAUGAAAACUACUACGACCCCUACUACGACCCCACCAACGCCCCGUCGGAGAUCGGGCCGGGAAUGCCGGCGAACCAGGACACCGUCUACGAAGGGAUUGGAGGACCUCGGGGCGAGAAAGGCCAAAAGGGAGAACCAGCCAUCAUUGAGCCGGGCAUGCUGAUCGAGGGUCCGCCCGGCCCGGAAGGCCCUGCGGUGAGUAUCAGGUUUGAUCCGGUGACUUGCCGUAGGUGCUCUUGGGGGGGUGGGGUUGGUGACACCCUUCCGUCUCCUGGAUGGAAAAGAGGUAGGCUCGUCACUUUUGCAGACAGCUUGGGAGCCGGCACUCUCCCGCCCCCACCCCUGCCUUGGUUGGCCAGGUAGAAAUCGGGCCUUGCCCUGCGGCCCCAUCUUUUAACUGUCCCAACUUUAUUUUUAAUUCUAGGGUCUUCCUGGACCACCAGGAACCAUGGGUCCCACUGGCCAAGUCGGGGACCCUGGAGAAAGGGUAAGAGGUUGACCGUGUUUCCUGAGAUCACAUGGGUUGUGGGGCUGCCCCUGCCUCCUCCCCACACUGUGACCCGAGCUGUCCCUGCCUGUGGAGGUGGCAAGUCGCCCCUCCCCCAGGCACUCCUCCCCUAGGCGCCCCUCACACCAGCCCUGUUCAGACUGUGGAUGUGGGAAGAGGGGGGCCGCUGGGGCGCAGGGAGCCUCCAGUGCUCAGCCCAGUCCGUGGCCCCGGGACCCUGCAUUUGUCCAGCAAUCAGCAGCGGCUGUAACCACGGUGAUGGCUCCCGGGCCUUUCCCGCUUGCUCCUCACCCCGGGCGGCCAUGCCACGUGGCAUCCGCCCUCCUUGCUCACUUGGGAACUUCCUCGGUCUGGGUUGCACCUGGCUCAGAGGCUCAGAGGCGUCCUCCUGUGACCCUAGCAGAGGGAGGGAGGUUGAGGGAGUGCCGCUCCUGGCCGCCACGAUUUCCUCCUGACACCUGGUGGGCGCUCCGAGUACUGCGGCCUCCUGGUCCCUGGCAGGGCGGGAGUUUCCUCUUCCUGCUGCUGGAAUGAAUGUGGAUUUGAGGGUGGAAGGACUAAUUCCUGGGUGGCUGGGCUGUGGGUGGGAGAAGCAAGGGGUGUGUGUGGGUGUUCACAGUAUCAUGCCAGGGCCUGCCUGCUGCCCGGGGCAGAGCGAGGACCCUGUGGGUGUUGGGGUGAGUGGAUGCAGGGUGGGUCUGGUCGCGUGGGAAGGUGGUUCGUAAAGUCAGCGCAGG